rnacentral:ribozyme from 1 species
UCAUAUUCAUUGGAGAAAUUACUUGUUAGAAUUUUUGUCGAUCUUCUUUCUCUUUGUUUUGUGUUGGCAGUUUUGAAGCUAAAAUUAAAAUUCCAAGAUAUCA